rnacentral:rRNA from 1 species
GACGAACGCUGGCGGCGUGCUUAACACAUGCAAGUCGAGCGGGAUCCAACCGGUGGCAACACCGGGGAAGAUCUAGCGGCGAACGGGUGAGUAACACGUGAGCAACCUGCCCCGAAGACUGGGAUAACACCGGGAAACCGGUGCUAAUACCGGAUGUCGUCAUUAGGCCGCAUGACCUGAUGAUGAAAGGAUUCAUCGCUUCGGGGAGGGGCUCGCGGGCUAUCAGCUUGUUGGUGGGGUAACGGCCUACCAAGGCGACGACGACUAGCUGGUCUGAGAGGACGACCAGCCACACUGGGACUGAGACACGGCCCAGACUCCUACGGGAGGCAGCAGUGGGGAAUCUUGCGCAAUGGGCGAAAGCCUGACGCAGCAACGCCGCGUGGGGGA